rnacentral:rRNA from 1 species
CGGUAAUACGGAGGAUCCAAGCGUUAUCCGGAAUCAUUGGGUUUAAAGGGUCCGUAGGCGGUCAGGUAAGUCAGUGGUGAAAGCCCAUCGCUCAACGGUGGAACGGCCAUUGAUACUGUCUGACUUGAAUUAUUAGGAAGUAACUAGAAUAUGUAGUGUAGCGGUGAAAUGCUUAGAGAUUACAUGGAAUACCAAUUGCGAAGGCAGGUUACUACUAAUUGAUUGACGCUGAUGGACGAAAGCGUGGGUAGCGAACAGGAUUAGAUACCCUGGUAGUCCACGCCGUAAACGAUGGAUACUAGCUGUUGGGAGCAAUCUCAGUGGCUAAGCGAAAGUGAUAAGUAUCCCACCUGGGGAGUACGAACGCAAGUUUGAA